rnacentral:rRNA from 1 species
UACGUAGGUGGCAAGCGUUAUCCGGAAUUAUUGGGCGUAAAGGGCGCGUAGGCGGCUUGGCAAGUGGAUGGUGAAAUCCCUCGGCUUAACCGAGGAACUGCCGUCCAAACUGCUUCGCUUGAGACCGGGAGAGGUGAGUGGAAUUCCCAGUGUAGCGGUGAAAUGCGUAGAUAUUGGGAGGAACACCAGUGGCGAAGGCGGCUCACUGGACCGGUACUGACGCUGAUGCGCGAAAGCGUGGGGAGCAAACGGG